rnacentral:lncRNA from 1 species
CUGGAGCAAUAAAUGUUAUGUUAAUUCCGUGGGACAAAGCCGGAUGACCUUGUCCCAGUUAAGUGUGAAUCCUUGAAGUGUACGAGCUCGGCACUGAACCCAACGCUCUGCAAUGGCAGCAAUGUCCCUCUGUUACUUGAGUGCUGGCUCAUGGAGGAAAUAAUGACUUUCCAUUUUAGAGAAGACUGGAAGUCUGUCACAGGCCAAGGAUCAGGAUGAUGGGGGAAACUGAACUUUCCUCUUGGCCAGAUCCCACCAACAGCAUCAACGUUGGAAACCCAGGAGUACAGCGUUGGAAAAGAGGGAUUAAUUCCUCUGAGUUAACAUCUAAGUUUGUUUUUUAAGGAAAAAUUUAAAAAACACUGAUGAAAGAUAUUUCCAGAUGAAGGAACUGCCAGACUUUGUGUCUCCAACCAUUUUACAUCUAUCCAGAAUUCACAAGAAAUGAUUAUCAUCGAUGAGUUAAGAAACAACAACAACAACAAAAACAGAACUGAAGGAAAUCAUUAGCAAUGGCUCCUAGAAAUCACCAGAUAAGGAGUUUCAUAUCCUCUGUAUGGCAUAUCUUCAGAUUGUAGCACAUCAGUAGCAUGGAUCUCAACCAAAGAAAGAUCAGACAUUUGUGAGUGAAUGGAAAAUGAAGGACAGAGCUGCAGAGAACAUUUUGCUCUUCUACAGCAUUUGGCUGCGAUGUUGGUCAGGGACGUUAUAGCUCCUCCAUGUGUUUUUACC